ensembl:miRNA
CAUUCAGUUCAGAGAUCAUGUCUGCAAGAGUGCAGGGGCAGAUUUCUGAUCUGGC